CCUACGGGUGGCAGCAGUGAGGAAUAUUGGUCAAUGGACGAGAGUCUGAACCAGCCAAGUAGCGUGAAGGAUGACUGCUCUAUGGGUUGUAAACUUCUUUUAUAUGGGAAUAAAGUGUUCCACGUGUGGGUUUUUGUAUGUACCAUAUGAAUAAGGAUCGGCUAACUCCGUGCCAGCAGCCGCGGUAAUACGGAGGAUUCGAGCGUUAUCCGGAUUUAUUGGGUUUAAAGGGAGCGUAGGUGGAUUGUUAAGUCAGUUGUGAAAGUUUGCGGCUCAACCGUAAAAUUGCCGUUGAAACUGGUAGACUUGAGUACAGUAGAGGUGGGCGGAAUGCGUGGUGUAGCGGUGAAAUGCUUAGAUAUCACGAAGAACUCCGAUUGCGAAGGCAGCUCACUGGACUACAACUGACACUGAGGCUCGAAAGUGUGGGUAUCAAACAGGAUUAGAUACCCGUGUAGUC
rnacentral:rRNA from 1 species